ACGGGUGAGUAAUGUCUGGGAAACUGCCUGAUGGAGGGGGAUAACUACUGGAAACGGUAGCUAAUACCGCAUAACGUCGCAAGACCAAAGAGGGGGACCUUCGGGCCUCUUGCCAUCAGAUGUGCCCAGAUGGGAUUAGCUAGUAGGUGGGGUAAUGGCUCACCUAGGCGACGAUCCCUAGCUGGUCUGAGAGGAUGACCAGCCACACUGGAACUGAGACACGGUCCAGACUCCUACGGGAGGCAGCAGUGGGGAAUAUUGCACAAUGGGCGCAAGCCUGAUGCAGCCAUGCCGCGUGUGUGAAGAAGGCCUUCGGGUUGUAAAGCACUUUCAGCGAGGAGGAAGGUGGUGAGCUUAAUACGCUCAUCAAUUGACGUUACUCGCAGAAGAAGCACCGGCUAACUCCGUGCCAGCAGCCGCGGUAAUACGGAGGGUGCAAGCGUUUAUCGGAAUUACUGGGCGUAAAGCGCACGCAGGCGGUUUGUUAAGUCAGAUGUGAAAUCCCCGGGCUCAACCUGGGAACUGCAUUUGAAACUGGCAAGCUAGAGUCUCGUAGAGGGGGGUAGAAUUCCAGGUGUA
rnacentral:rRNA from 1 species